rnacentral:snRNA from 1 species
GAGAUCACUUUGGUAGCACAUUUACUAAAAUUGAAAUGAUAAGAGAAGAUUCGCGCGGCUCCAGUACAAGGAAGACACACAAAUUGGUAAGCAUUCCAUAUUUUUU